AGACUUAGGACUCAGCUGCCUCUUGGGCAGCUGGGCUCUUUACACUAGAGGCAGAGAUUUGGAAAGGUGUUUUGCUGCUAGGUGUACGACAUGUGAACGAAACAAACUGAAUUACAGGGAAGCAAAAAGAUGACAAGAAAGUAUGCAAGUUCAGGCUGGGUGCAGUGGCUCAUGCCUGUAAUCCCAGCACUUUGGGAGACCAAGAUUAAAAGCCUGAGAAAGGAAGAGGCAGGCCCUGACAUCUGAGAGCUGGUCUGACACAGCUAGACUUCAGGGUUGUUAGAAGCUGGCCUGAUGCUCACAGCUUGGCCCAGUUAUUCUUCUGUGGGACAUAAUCUCACAGAACACCAACAUGAGACAAGGUCAGUCAGACUAUAAAAAAGGGACACAACAACAAGGCCAUUUCAAAAUUGUGUCUAAGCAGAGACAAGAGAGCAAGGUCACUGUGCAAGCCAUGAAAUACCAAACGUCCUUCUCUGCUAUUAUGAGUGACUGCUGCUUCUUUACUAGGUGUGUUCCUGAUGGUCUCUGGCUGGAGGGCAGGGACAGGCCAGAGUCCUUACAAUUGUCUACAAAGUCCCACAGUGGUUCUUGGACUUCAUCACCCAUCAGAAUCAUCUGGAAGAAUUGUUAAAAGAGAAUUGCUGGUCCCCAACCCCAGAGCCUGUGAUUGAAUAAAGCUGGGGUUGAGGUCUUAG